rnacentral:rRNA from 2 species
UAGGGAAUCUUCGGCAAUGGACGAAAGUCUGACCGAGCAACGCCGCGUGAGUGAAGAAGGUUUUCGGAUCGUAAAACUCUGUUGUUAGAGAAGAACAAGGACGUUAGUAACUGAACGUCCCCUGACGGUAUCUAACCAGAAAGCCACGGCUAACUACGUGCCAGCAGCCGCGGUAAUACGUAGGUGGCAAGCGUUGUCCGGAUUUAUUGGGCGUAAAGCGAGCGCAGGCGGUUUCUUAAGUCUGAUGUGAAAGCCCCCGGCUCAACCGGGGAGGGUCAUUGGAAACUGGGAGACUUGAGUGCAGUAGAGGAGAGUGGAAUUCCAUGUGUAGCGGUGAAAUGCGUAGAUAUAUGGAGGAACACCAGUGGCGAAGGCGGCUCUCUGGUCUGUAACUGACGCUGAGGCUCGAAAGCGUGGGGAGCAAACAGG